rnacentral:rRNA from 1 species
UUGGAGGGCAAGUCUGGUGCCAGCAGCCGCGGUAAUUCCAGCUCCAAUAGCGUAUAUUAAAGUUGUUGCAGUUAAAAAGCUCGUAGUUGAAUUUCGGGAUUAGUACGCUGGUCGUGCCUUCGGUACGUACUGGUGUUACUGAUUUCUACCUUCUGACGAACCAUCAUGUCAUUAAUUUGGUGUAGUGGGGAAUCAGGACUGUUACUUUGAAAAAAUUAGAGUGUUUAAAGCAGGCUCGCGCUUGAAUACAUUAGCAUGGAAUAAUGAAAUAGGACGUUGAUCCUAUUUUGUUGGUUUCUAGGAUUGACGUAAUGAUUAAUAGGGAUAGUUGGGGGCAUUAGUAUUCAAUUGUCAGAGGUGAAAUUCUUGGAUUUAUUGAAGACUAACUACUGCGAAAGCAUUUGCCAAGGAUGUUUUCAUUAAUCAAGAACGAAAGUUAGGGGAUCGAAGACGAUCAGAUACCGUCGUAGUCUUAACCAUAAACUAUGCCGACUAGGGAUCGGAUGAUGUUAUUUUUAAUGACUCAUUCGGCGCCUUACGGGAAAC